AUAUCAAUAAGCGGAGGAAAAGAAACCAACAGGGAUUGCCCUAGUAACGGCGAGUGAAGCGGCAAGAGCUCAAAUUUGAAAGCUGGCUCCUUCGGGGUCCGCAUUGUAAUUUGCAGAGGAUGCUUCGGGAGCGGUCCCCGUCUAAGUGCCCUGGAACGGGCCGUCAUAGAGGGUGAGAAUCCCGUAUGGGACGGGGUGUCCGCGCCCGUGUGAAGCUCCUUCGACGAGUCGAGUUGUUUGGGAAUGCAGCUCUAAAUGGGUGGUAAAUUUCAUCUAAAGCUAAAUAUUGGCCGGAGACCGAUAGCGCACAAGUAGAGUGAUCGAAAGAUGAAAAGCACUUUGAAAAGAGAGUUAAAAAGCACGUGAAAUUGUUGAAAGGGAAGCGCUUGCGACCAGACUCGCCUACGGGGUUCAGCCGGCAUUCGUGCCGGUGUACUUCCCCGUGGGCGGGCCAGCGUCGGUUUGGGCGGCCGGUCAAAGGCUCCCGGAAUGUAACGCCUCUCGGGGCGUCUUAUAGCCGGGGGUGCAAUGCGGCCUGCCUGGACCGAGGAACGCGCUUCGGCACGGACGCUGGCAUAAUGGUCGUAAGCGACCCGUCUUGAAACACGGACC
rnacentral:rRNA from 1 species